GUAGGUGAACCUGCGGAAGGAUCAUUAGCGAAGCGUGGAGUGGCACGCCCAGUCUAACUGGGUUGUGUACUCCUACACGACGUUAUUCAAUUGUUUUCAACAAUUGAGCAUCAUCAUCAACACGAUUGAAAAGUCGAGUCAAAGUAAAGGCUCGCACACGACUGCGCUGGAUGCGUUGUGGGCUGCCCGUCGCAGUGAAGAUUAAUUUCUUCCUGCGAGUGUGCUAGCGGUCUGCCAGCUGCUGUUGUGA
rnacentral:misc_RNA from 1 species